UUUUUCCUGAGGAUUCUAAGC
rnacentral:miRNA from 1 species